rnacentral:rRNA from 1 species
GCCAGACUCCUACGGGAGGCAGCAGUGAGGAAUAUUGGUCAAUGGGCGCGAGCCUGAACCAGCCAAGUCGCGUGAGGGAGGACGGCCCUACGGGUUGUAAACCUCUUUUGCCGGGGAGCAACGGGCGUCACGUGUGGCGCCACUGAGAGUACCCGGAGAAAAAGCAUCGGCUAACUCCGUGCCAGCAGCCGCGGUAAUACGGAGGAUGCGAGCGUUAUUCGGAUUUAUUGGGUUUAAAGGGUGCGUAGGCGGACUGGAAAGUCAGGGGUAAAAUCGAGAGGCUCAACCUCUUUCCGCCGUUGAAACUGUCGGUCUUGAGUGGGCGAGAAGUAUGCGGAAUGCGUGGUGUAGCGGUGAAAUGCAUAGAUAUCACGCAGAACUCCGAUUGCGAAGGCAGCAUACCGGCGCCCGACUGACGCUGAGGCACGAAAGCGUGGGUAUCGAACAGGAUUAGAUAC